rnacentral:rRNA from 1 species
AGCGAACGCUGGCGGCAGGCUUAACACAUGCAAGUCGAACGGGCGUAGCAAUACGUCAGUGGCAGACGGGUGAGUAACACGUGGGAACGUACCUUUUGGUUCGGAACAACUGAGGGAAACUUCAGCUAAUACCGGAUAAGCCCUUACGGGGAAAGAUUUAUCGCCGAAAGAUCGGCCCGCGUCUGAUUAGCUAGUUGGUGGGGUAAGAGCCCACCAAGGCGACGAUCAGUAGCUGGUCUGAGAGGAUGAUCAGCCACAUUGGGACUGAGACACGGCCCAAACUCCUACGGGAGGCAGCAGUGGGGAAUAUUGGACAAUGGGCGAAAGCCUGAUCCAGCCAUGCCGCGUGAGUGAUGAAGGCCCUAGGGUUGUAAAGCUCUUUUAACGGGGAAGAUAAUGACGGUACCCGUAGAAUAAGCCCGGCUAACUUCGUG